CCUACGGGUGGCAGCAGUGAGGAAUAUUGGUCAAUGGUCGGGAGACUGAACCAGCCAAGCCGCGUGAGGGAGGAAGGUACAGAGUAUCGUAAACCUCUUUUGUCAGGGAACAAAGGCGGGGACGUGUCCCCGGAUGAGUGUACCUGAAGAAACAGCAUCGGCUAACUCCGUGCCAGCAGCCGCGGUAAUACAGAGGAUGCGAGCGUUAUCCGGUUUUAUUGGGUUUAAAGGGUGCGCAGGCGGUUUGGUAAGUCAGCGGUGAAAGCCCGGGGCCCAACCCGCGCCGCGCCGUUGAAACGGGCAGUCUCGAGUGGGAGAGAGGUAUGCGGAAUGCGCGGUGUAGCGGUGAAAUGCAUAGAUAUCGCGCAGAACUCCGAUGGCGAAGGCAGCAUGCCGGCUCCACACUGACGCUGAGGCACGAAAGCGUGGGUAGCGAACAGGAUUAGAUACCCUAGUAGUC
rnacentral:rRNA from 1 species